AUUGAACGCUGGCGGCAGGCUUAACACAUGCAAGUCGAGCGAGCGGCGGACGGGUGAGUAAUGUCUGGGAAACUGCCUGAUGGAGGGGGAUAACUACUGGAAACGGUAGCUAAUACCGCAUACCAUCGGAUGUGCCCAGAUGGGAUUAGCUAGUAGGUGGGGUAAUGGCUCACCUAGGCGACGAUCCCUAGCUGGUCUGAGAGGAUGACCAGCCACACUGGAACUGAGCCACGGUCCAGAUUCCUACGGUAGGCAGCAGUGGGGAAUAUUGCACAAUGGGCGCAACCCUGAUGCAGCCAUGCCGCGUGUAUGAAGAAGGCCUUCGGGUUGUAAAGCACUUUCAGCGAGGAGGCGUUACUCGCAGAAGAAGCACCGGCUAACUCCGUGCCAGCCGCCGCGGUAAUAC
rnacentral:rRNA from 1 species